CCUACGGGGGGCUGCAGUGAGGAAUAUUGGUCAAUGGGCGAGAGCCUGAACCAGCCAAGUCGCGUGAGGGAGUACUGCCCUAUGGGUUGUAAACCUCUUUUGUCGGGGAGCAAAAGCCGGACGUGUCCGGCUGUGAGAGUACCCGAAGAAAAAGCAUCGGCUAACUCCGUGCCAGCAGCCGCGGUAAUACGGAGGAUGCGAGCGUUAUCCGGAUUUAUUGGGUUUAAAGGGUGCGCAGGCGGAUUUUUAAGUCAGCGGUAAAAUCGUGGGGCUCAACCCCAUCCAGCCGUUGAAACUGGGGAUCUAGAGUGGGCGAGAGGUAUGCGGAAUGCGUGGUGUAGCGGUGAAAUGCAUAGAUAUCACGCAGAACCCCGAUUGCGAAGGCAGCAUACCGGUGCACAACUGACGCUCAGGCACGAAAGCGUGGGUAUCGAACAGGAUUAGAUACCCUGGUAGUC
rnacentral:rRNA from 1 species